AGAGGGAUAAAUGUCGCACUGCACGGAGCAAGCUGGUUGAAAACCCUCAAGAGGAACUAUUGGCCUCAAGUAUUGACUGAUAAUGCAUACUGGCUAAGAUGCUGCACUACUUCGUUGCACUGUUUGCUGUGGCCAUACUUUCUUCACGUGAAGGGAUUUCCACUCCUCAUCCUGCAAUCGAGUGCACAAACCAUACAGUUUUAAACGAGGCAAGCAGAUCUAAGUUUUUUACCAACUACAUCGUUAGCGGCAGCGAUACCUCAUUAACGGGCUGGUUUACAUUCAAUGGCUCAGCCGGUACGCGUAUGGCUACAACCUGCGUUCCCGCUGAUCACUGCGGUACGUUCGUUCCCGGAUGGCUGGCGGGUAACCAUCCAAGUGUAGAUGAAGGUGUAGUAGUACGAUCAGUAUGUCUCUCCAAGUCGCGAGUUUGUUGCAUGACAUCUGUGAGCGUGCUCGUGAGGAACUGCAGCAGCUUCUUUGUUUACAAACUGGACAUGAAUUCAAGUUUCAGCUUUACCUUUCGAGUGUGUGGAAGU